rnacentral:rRNA from 1 species
AUGCUUUGGAAGAAGCUUGUACAGUUUGGGAAGGGGUUUUUUGAGAGAAAAGAAGAAUCUCCUUCAACCGAUAUGCCCUUAGGCACGGCCAUGCAUAACAUAGAAAUCACACGUGGAAGGGGUGGGCAAUUAGCUAGAGCAGCAGGUGCUGUAGCGAAACUCAUUGCAAAAGAGGGUAAAUCGGCCACUUUAAGAUUACCAUCUGGGGAGGUCCGUUUAGUAUCCCAAAACUGCUUAGCAACAGUCGGACAAGUGGGUAAUGUUGGGGUGAACCAAAAAAGUUUGGGUAGAGCCGGAUCUAAGUGUUGGCUAGGUAAACGCCCCGUAGUAAGAGGGGUAGUUAUGAACCCUGUGGACCACCCCCAUGGGGGCGGUGAAGGGAAAGCUCCCAUUGGUAGAAAAAAACCCACAACCCCUUGGGGUUAUCCUGCGCUUGGAAGAAGAACUAGGAAAAGGAAAAAAUAUAGCGAUAGUUUUAUUCUUCGUCGCCGUACGUAA